rnacentral:lncRNA from 13 species
CUUCAAAAACGGCUGACGGUUGACCAAUCCAAGACGCGCAUGCAACAACGGCUGGGUGUUGACCAAUCCCAGACGUGCCUGCAACAACGGCCGGGUGUUGAUCAAUCCCAGACGUGCCUGCAACAACGGCCGGGUGUUGACCAAUCCCAGACGUGCCUGCAACAACGGCCGGGUGUUGACCAAUCCCAGCGGCCAUACUUCAACCACUCAUAGACAGCUGAGCGUUCAAACUGUGUUCAAAGAAGGCAAAUGUCCAUGCCAAGCUGCAAGCUGGAACCAAACUCACUGUUUCUGUACCUCACUGCCGAUUCCUCUAUAAACAUUGUUCCGUAUUUGAACAUGCUGUCACUGCUAUUCAUUCUGGCUGAGACACGGUUCGCUUCCAACGCCUGCGCUUGCGAUGAUGCCAGUGUCUCACUCACAGAGUGUUACAUUUUCUCGUUGGCCUCGCAAGCAUUGCAGCUUUAAGAGGAAGACAUGCUGUAAGCGGCACUUCUUCAAAUCGUAAGGAGCAACGAUGUUACAGAAAAAUUCAUCGACUUGGUGGAAGGAGAAGAGAGUUCACACUGUUACAGGAAUCAUAUAUUUUUUUCUUUUCUGAAGCCUUAAUAAAUAUAAAUUUAAAAGACA